CAGUUUUACUUUACGGACGCGGCUAUUGUAUCGUCACAGUGAUCGUGAGAGCGCGCUUCAGGCGCUGGCGCUCCGUCCGCCUCUCGCUCGCUCGUCGGCUCGUCCGCCCGGUACCGCCGGUGGCGCUCCCCGCCGCACCCGCUCUAGGCCCGCCCGCUGCACCUCCGCCGGCCCGAGCGGCGCCGCCUGCGCCCCGGGAAGGAGCGGCGCGAGGCGAACCGCUGGCCGUUUAUGCCGCCGCUGCGCCGGCGGCGCACCCGCCGCCAGCACCGCCGCCCCCACGACGCCGGCCUGGUGGGCGUGCGCGAGGUGGUCGACCAGAUGAUGAGGCAGAUGCGGCCGACCCUGGCGCGGUUCGCCCCGGGCGGCGGGAUGACCAAGGGGAGGGGCUAACUGACGUUCCUUUGCUUAGAACCCUCUCACUACCCUCUCUUACCUGGGUUCGACAAUCCUCGUAGUAUAUUCCUAGGUUAAAGUUCGAAACCGGAGAAGGUGUUUAAGAGACAAGUAUUAGUCCUCCAGAUGACCUUUUAUCACGACUUCCUCGAAAGGUAGUUCAAACAUGCUCUUGGUUGUAGCUAAGAUCUACGCAGUCUAUUUAGUUUCUUCCCUCCUUAUACCAAGGGUCCACGUCACGAGUUGUAACGACUUACAACAGACGAUGGAACCGGAAGGGUCUCGUUCUGGCUACUAUCGUGUCGAUAACAGACCUCCCUACUCCCGAAACUGCUAAUGGGUCACUUGGCAUACAGCAACUUCCUCGAAGCGUGGGUUCACUACUGACAACGUUUACGGGAACUAUGGUACAAGGUUUUCCCGCUGGUAUAACGUUAUCUGUACGGGUACUGCACGUUACGCCAGUAACAAAUAAACCGUUAGUAGGAACCUCCGAAACAACACCACCCUUAUCGUCUGUCAAAACGUGGAGUCCUCUAACGCUGAGCGUACUCCCAGCGUUUUCGUUUCCGUUAGAAAUGAGUCCUAAAGUAUUAAUCCCCUCCCUUCUUUAAAGGUGAAAUAUCGGCACAGUACCUUCCCUGAAGUAGGUUUCGAUAACACUAGGGACGUUGACCUCUGGAAGAACCUCAAUGUGGUUCCUUACCACUGUAUAGGACCUUUCUAAAAGAAAGAGCAAGACGACCUUCCAGUAGCUAUAUGAGAGGUCAAAUAGUUAGACGUCUGCGGGAUUAAUUAUAUGACAAAAGUAGUCCUUGUUGACCCCUCGGUUUUCGAUAUGGUACCUGUGUUGAAACAGGGUAUUCUACACCUCGACUAUGGACCCCUGUAAACCUACAAGCGGGUUUCCUGUAUCCGACGACCGGAUGUUUAGACCCAACCCAAUACCCUGGAUAAGUUGAUAAGAGUAGGAAAGAUUUACCACGCUGCAACCGAAAUAUAGUACCAAGAGGAGAACCUGCACCGAAGACGUUUAAACAGGUCCUACGGGCACACUCACAUAAUCCCAGACACGGAUCGAACCACUUUAGUACCUUCCGACCAUUAGAAUGACUUCCCGAUCUGACCUGGUUUUAGUCCCAUGAACGGUGUUGUCCCCUCCGAAGACUAUAACUACUAUUAGACACCGAUAGAAGUGCAUGGACAAUGUUUGGGUAACAACUCACGACACCACCGUGUCUCGACCGUAGGAGUAUGUAAGUUCCCUCAGAAGACGUCGGUGUUCGAAAACCUCGAAAGUCACCACGUAGCUACAGGUGACCCAAACAGUAUGAGCUACUCGUCCCUUUAGGUAUAGGACUACUAGAUGGAACAAGACCUCUUCACCCGGAGAAGGGAAAUAUAAAACCACGAUGAUUAGCCGAAGAGUUACGACUGGUACUAUUCCAAAUGAAGCUACCUUACGGGUAAAUGUCUCCUGCCGUUGAGGCUGCUGUACCUCUAUAUUAGGUCUCCUGUCAUCCACCAAUGAUAUAGCACGUCCCGUCUCGUCUGCUAUGAUACUUAGAACCUCCCUAAUUCUGUUCAAGUCACCUCUAGCUUGCCCAAACAUUACCUCGGCUACUCCCAAACGAUCUUUGUCGUCGACAACCGUAGUUUGGAAGGCCGCCCCCUGGUCUUGUUGACCGAUAGAACCGUCACGAUUUUCUAUCUAGCCGUGGUAUGCUACGUUUAUAAGACUUCCCUUUCAAGGUCUGUCGGUAGGUCUUCUUGGAGUUAGGGGAAAAGUCCCACUCGAUGCAGUUUCAGCAGGGGCUCAAGGGCUCUUGACGAAGCUUGUUCGACGACUCUUCCCAGGACUCCCUAGUCGACUUCGUUCUUGAACGUUCAGCGUCGUUCGAUAUUACGUGGACUCCCGGUUAAUAGAGAAAAGUUGUUCUUUUACCGAGAAGUAUUAGGUUCAAAUAACUUGAUUACCACACAAUGUAUUCGCUACCAAGCUAAGGGAAAGUAAGUGAAGUAACUCCCACACAUCAAAGUAUUGUGAACAAUAACAUAACAUACACAAGUCGCGUAAUCUUCAUUAUUCCGCUACCGAACGAUUUUAGCCUGGUGAGACAUACAAACUUCCAAAAAUUCGGUAGUGUAAAAGAAUACAAAAGAGAAAUGUAGAAAUAUUUUGUUCUACUCGCCGUAAUACAUCACAGUCUAGUUUUGAGCCUAUACAAAUGAAAAACAAUGAGAACGUUUGAUUACUAAAAUAUUAGACUUGAAGAAAUCUGU
rnacentral:rRNA from 1 species